CCUGCCAAGAGUUCUAGCUUAACUUAAAAUUUCUAGGUAGUUUAAUCUGGAAAAGAACAAACGCCGUCCCUUUCCUCCCUCCCAAUUCAUCUUCCUCCCUUCCUUUCCGUUCCAUUUCCAGAUUCUCCCAAAUCAACCUUUCUUGACCCCUUGGUUCAUUCUCAUCGGCAAGGUAGAGCGCCUGGCAAGGAACUGGGAGCCCUCUGACUCGGAGAAGAAGGAGGUGGUGAUGGCGGAGGCGAUGGAGGCAGAGAUGGUGAGUGUUCAAAAAGUUUUGCGAGAUAUGGCUUGGAGAAGAUGAAAUUACAUGUAGGGGAGGCUCAUAUGGAAGGUUGGUAAUUUUGGGCCAACUAACCUUGUCGAUGCAUGCUGUAAAGUUGGUGUGAAGAGGUUAUUCUAGUAAGUUCAAUUUUGGUCAAUGGAGCAUCAAUGGGGCAGAUUCUCAAUCCAGCUUACAUAUUUCUUAAUCUCAAAGCUUCAGGCAGAGCAUUAUAUCAGGAAGUCUGGUAUAAACUACACAAUAAUAAGGCCUGGUGAGUUGAGAAAUGAACCUCUAACAGGAAAUCUUGUGAUGGAACCAGAGGUAAGUCAGGACACUAUCUGGAGGCACCCAUCUCCAGAGAUCUGGUGGUGGAAUUAGCUAUUGAGUCAUUAGUCACUCCUGAAGCAUCUUACAAGGUAGUGGAGAUAGUUUCCAGUGCUGAUGCCCCCAAGCGUACAUACAAGGAUCUGGCUAUUUGGUUUGGUGAAGAAAGGGUGACCUAAGUUUGAUACCAAAGAAUUAUGUUGACGUACAGAUUAAUAUCCCCAUUUUAAGUAGCCUUUUGAUGGCAUAAAUGUGUUCGCCGAUAUUCCUUGUACAUCAAUACUAUACCUCUUUUCAUUAAAUUGCUAACGAUUGGUCUGAUGUCUCACUUUGAAAA